rnacentral:rRNA from 1 species
UGGGGAAUAUUGGACAAUGGGGGGAACCCUGAUCCAGCCAUGCCGCGUGUGUGAAGAAGGCCUUAUGGUUGUAAAGCACUUUAAGCGAGGAGGAGGCUCUCUUGGUUAAUACCCAAGAUGAGUGGACGUUACUCGCAGAAUAAGCACCGGCUAACUCUGUGCCAGCAGCCGCGGUAAUACAGAGGGUGCGAGCGUUAAUCGGAUUUACUGGGCGUAAAGCGUGCGUAGGCGGCUUUUUAAGUCGGAUGUGAAAUCCCCGAGCUUAACUUGGGAAUUGCAUUCGAUACUGGGAAGCUAGAGUAUGGGAGAGGAUGGUAGAAUUCCAGGUGUAGCGGAGAAAUGCGUAGAGAUCUGGAGGAAUACCGAUGGCGAAGGCAGCCAUCUGGCCUAAUACUGACGCUGAGGUACGAAAGCAUGGGGAGCAAACAGG